AGCUUGGCCCAACUCAUUACUGUGUACCCCAUCCAAGUUCAUUACUAUGUACCAAUUCAACAUCGAUUCCUCAAUCCAUCACUCUCCAGGGGAAAAGAUGCAAAAAGAUGUACGUAUUCUUGUGAGGUAGCCGAAGAAUGCUUCGAGAUGUGUCGUAGACUCGAAAUUUCCAUUUCUUGUGAGAAAGAGGAAUAAACAUAUAGAAUGAUUUACGAUUAGGAGGUUGUUGUGCGAGGUUCAAAGUUCCACAGCGAAUGAUAUGAGACAAGACAAUGACAUUGGACCUACGGAACAUGUCGGAGAACAAGGCAAUGACAUUGUUGGCGCAUGAGGGGCUAAUUGUAGGUUUGGUAUAUUUAACGGUUACGGGUUUGGUUGCAUCGGCUAGCAAUGAUAAGAUAAUGGCAUUUGGUUUGAUGUAGUUUGUGUUAUUGGUUGUUUUGUGUAUGUUGUUCGACUUUUAUCUAUUCUAGAUAACUGUUGUG